UGGUUCUAUUUUUUUUAGCUAGCCAAUUAACCAGGAUAACAACUUUGACUUGCAAGUAGAUUUCUUCCGAAGAAUGCAAACAAAGCCACCAUCUCUUUAAAAACAGCUGUGGGGCAGGAGGCUCUAGGUUUUGAUGGGCCAGAUCUUGCAUUUAUUUUGCCCUGUAUUGACUGUUAGCCCUCCUCUCUCUCUCCAUCCCCGCCUCCCACUUUCCAGCUUACCUUGGGUGAGGCGUGCGGGAGCUGCUGCCAGGUCUUCUGGAAAGUUCAUAGAAGACUAUGCUGCACAAACAAAGCAAGCCAGAAACAAGAAUACUGUCACCUCACUUUCUUUGCUUUGUUCUCAGUGGGAAAAUACAGCUAAGUCUCAGUCUCUGGAAACUUCUGAGCUAAAUCUUGGUGUCAGCUCUGGAAUGAAAGUUACUCCCAGUGAAUUUUGGAAAAGGGAGAGCCCAGGCCUGCAUCAAUGCGACAAAAGUUAAAUCAUGGAUGAUGAUGAAAACCAAGCAAGGCACUAAGGGAAAGCAAAACUGGAUUCUACUUCCUCUUUCUGAAACAUUUUAAAAUUUGGACUACGUGGCAACCUGCAUUUGUGGGAAAAUGCUACCUGCAUUGGAUGCAGACAGAGCUCAUGGAGACAGAAGUACUGAAGGGCAGCAGAUGUGUUUGAUGGAGCCAGAUGUAUUAAAAACAGUCAGAUGCACAUAUAUCUUCCUCUCACAUGAGAGGAAGAAGUGACGGUUGAAAGUAAAUAUACAUAUAAAUGUGGGUGGUGACCAAGAUGACAACAAAUUGGAGGUAUUGACUACUGUCUUUUUAUGUUUUUAUAUUAAUGCCCUAGGUCCCUCUUCUAUGCUUCCCUACUAAUAUUAGCUGUAAAUCUUUAAUUCCUUUGUUUAGCUUAAUUUAUUAUUUUAUGUUAAGAAAUACCAUUUUAUAAUUAUUCAUAAAAUUAGAAAUUUAAUUUUCAAUCGCAAUCCGAUCUGUUCUUAUACCAAAUCAGAAAAUAUUAAGAGCAAGGGAAAAACCUGUUGGGACCAUGUUUUCAUUCUGGUCUGUGUCUUUGUUCCCUCUUUGCUGAAGUGAAGAUCUGAUCAAUUUUCACACACAUUAAGUAAUGCAGGGAGGAAGAAGAG
rnacentral:lncRNA from 1 species